CAGGGCUCGACAUUAACGCUUGUCCGAUUGUCCGGGACAAGUGGACACAGGUGUCGGGCAAGUAGAUUCACCAUACUACUUGUCCGAUGGGACAAGUGAAAAAUCAAGGUCAGAUAAAAAUAGAUCAAAUUCAAGACUUAUACAUUCCCAAAAAUAUUAAUGAUUGUUUUAUUGAUCAUACUUAAUGAAAUUAUUAUUCAUUGAUUGAACCAGAGACAUAUAAAACUUGUAUAAUAUGUCUCUGAUUUGGAGUAUUGAACAUGGUGGCAGCCAUUGACCAGGGGGAUAUAAGUAAGGGGAAAGAAACCAAUGUUAAUGUAUCUUCUUAGUAUAAGCUUCCUUGAAUUAGGAGCACCUCCAUAUGGAGUUUUACCUAAACUUUAAAAUAUUAAAUUAAAGUAUGUUUCAUUUGAUUUUGCUUUUAUGCAUAACAAUACAUUAAAAAAGGUUUUAUUUGAUAAGAUCUAUGAUAUAAAAAUUUAAGAUGAAAAAAAAAAAAAAAAAAUCUAAAAAGGCAGAUUUUUUAGUGAAAUGUGUAUGUACUUCAUGAUCAUAUAUAUCAAUGUAUAUACAAAUCAAAAUAAAUUGUAAAAGUUUGUUUUAACAUCAUCAAUAAAUUAAAAAGGUUUACUCAUAUACAUGUUCAAGGUGGCCAGGUGUAUUUACGUCCUUGGUUUAACCCAUACCACUACUAAAGAAUGAAUAGGUCCAUAGGGG
rnacentral:lncRNA from 1 species